rnacentral:rRNA from 1 species
AUUGAACGCUGGCGGCAGGCCUAACACAUGCAAGUCGAGCGAGUGGCGGACGGGUGAGUAAUGUAUGGGAAACUGCCAGAUGGAGGGGGAUAACUACUGGAAACGGUGGCUAAUACCGCAUACCAUCGGAUGUACCCAGAUGGGAUUAGCUAGUAGGUGGGGUAACGGCUCACCUAGGCGCAGAUCUCUAGCUGGUCUGAGAGGAUGACCAGCCACACUGGUACUGAGACCCGGCCCAGACUCCUACGGGAGGCAGCAGUGGGGAAGAUUGCACAAUGUGCGCAAGCCUGAUGCAGCCAUGCCGCGUGUAUGAAGAAGGCCUUCGGGUUGUAAAGUACUUUCAGCGGCGAGGCGUUACUCGCAGAAGAAGCACCGGCUAACUCCGUGCCAGCAGCCGCGGUAAUUC